AGUGGAACCCAAUGUGGUCUUCUGCUGUUGCAUGCUGAGAUGCUUUUCGGCUCACCACGGUUGUAAAGAGUUGCUGUUGCGGACAAGCUGGAUUCAAUCCCAGCUGACACUGGUGAGAGGUGGGAUACACCCUGGACAGGUCACCAAUCUACCACAUGGCUAACGCAGAGAGACAGACAGCUGUUCACACUCACAUUCACACCUACUGCUGGGUUUCAGUCAUGUGACUUUUCUUAGCGGUUUUACCAGAAGUGAAAUAGCUGGUGGUCUAAAACAGCUGCCGUAGUGCAAACAACUAGUGAUAACUUAUAAGAGUGCGCUUGUAAUCUAGAAUCCACUGCUCACUUUAGAUAUAUUCAGAAGAUUGCUAUGUGCAAUGGAAUCAACCCCUACAGUCUGGGAAAGAAGGAUUUGUCAUACGAUCUCGAAAACUACCCUUCAGUCAAGUUGCCCGACAUCUCGAACUAUCUGGUGUUGCAGACGUCCUUCUACACCGCAAAACAGAUGAAAGCGUGGAAGAGUAUGGAGGCUUACAACUUUUUUGUAUGUGGCUGGGUAAAGGACCUCGGGAUCAAGUCACUGCUGAAUGAAUCCUGUAUUGUUUUUGCCCGUAUGCCGACUAGAGAAGAGGCUUGAGAGCGAGAUUGCUCCUGUCUGAGAACUCGGCAAGGCUCAGCUGUGGAAUUCACACUGCCCUCGUGACUCAGGCCAACCGGUGCCUGUUGUGUAACAGAGCACUUUUUUGGGAGAUCACAGCCACUGAGGCAGAUCUUUGUAAAGCUGUUGUUAUUCCUUAGAGCUUCCUGAGGGAAGGUCAAGGCAGCUUUGAUAUCUUGGUGAUUUUCUCACAGAUGCAGGUGGUACAGCAGGACUAUGUA